GACGAACGCUGGCGGCGUGCUUAACACAUGCAAGUCGAACGCUGAACCCGCUUCGGUGGGGGAUGAGUGGCGAACGGGUGAGUAACACGUGGGCAACCUGCCCUCGUCUCUGGGAUAACUCCAAGAAAUUGGGGCUAAUACCGGAUGUGACCGCUUGCUGCAUGGUCUGGUUUUGGCAAGUUUUUCCGGCUGGGGUUGUGUCCGCGGUAUAUCAGGUGGUUGGUGGGGUAGUGGCCUACCAAGGCGAGGAAGGGUAGCCGGCCUGAGAGGGUGACCGGCCACACUGGGAGAGAAAAAAGGCCCAAACUCCAAAGGGGGGCAGCGGGGGGGAAUAUUGAGCAAUGGGCGGAAGCCUGACGCAGCGACGAGGCGGGGGGGAUGACGACCUUCGGGUUGAAAACGUCUAUCGGCAGGGACGAAGCGGAAGUGAAGGUACCUGCAGAAGAAGCACCGGCCAACUACGUG
rnacentral:rRNA from 1 species